rnacentral:rRNA from 1 species
AAUAUUGCACAAUGGGGGAAACCCUGAUGCAGCGACGCCGCGUGAAGGAAGAAGGUUUUCGGAUCGUAAACUUCUAUCAGCAGGGAAGAAUAAUGACGGUACCUGACUAAGAAGCCCCGGCUAACUACGUGCCAGCAGCCGCGGUAAUACGUAGGGGGCAAGCGUUAUCCGGAAUUACUGGGUGUAAAGGGUGCGUAGGCGGUACGAUAAGUCAGAUGUGAAAGCCCCGGGCUCAACCUGGGGACUGCAUUUGAAACUAUCGAACUAGAGUGCAGGAGAGGAAAGUGGAAUUCCUAGUGUAGCGGUGAAAUGCGUAGAGAUUAGGAGGAACACCAGUGGCGAAGGCGACUUUCUGGACUGUAACUGACGCUGAGGCACGAAAGCGUGGGGAGCGAACAGGAUUAGAUACCCUGGUAGUCCACGCUGUAAACGAUGAGUGCUAGGUGUCGGAGGG